GACGAACGCUGGCGGCGUGCUUAACACAUGCAAGUCGAACGGGAGUAUUGAAGAAGCUUGCUUUAGAGAUACUUUAGUGGCGGACGGGUGAGUAACGCGUGAGGAGCUGUCCAAUGCAGGGGGACAACAGUUGGAAACGACUGCUAAUACCCCAUAAGCCGAGAGGUAAAAGGAUUUAUCCGGCAAUGGAGGUACUCGAGUCCUAUCAGCUAGUAGGUGAGGUAACGGCUCACCUAGGCGAAGACGGGUAGCCGGCCUGAGAGGGCGAACGGCCACACUGGAACUGAGAUACGGUCCAGAAUCCUACGGGAGGCAGCAGUGGGGAAUAUUGGGCAAUGCGGGGAACCCUGACCCAGCGACGCCGCGUGGGUGAAGAAAUCCUUCGGGAUGUAAAGCCCUGUUGUAUGGGAAGAGCGGAAGACGGUACCAUACGAGGAAGCCCCGGCAAACUACGUGCCAGCAGCCGCAGUAA
rnacentral:rRNA from 1 species